UACGUAGGGUCCGAGCGUUGUCCGGAAUUAUUGGGCGUAAAGGGCUCGUAGGCGGUUUGUCGCGUCAGGAGUGAAAACUCGGGGCUUAACCCCGAGCCUGCUUCUGAUACGGGCAGACUAGAGGUAUGCAGGGGAGAACGGAAUUCCUGGUGUAGCGGUGAAAUGCGCAGAUAUCAGGAGGAACACCGGUGGCGAAGGCGCUCAUCUGGCCCAAUACUGACGCUGAGGCGCGAAAGCUAGGGGAGCAAACGGG
rnacentral:rRNA from 1 species